AGGAAGUACUUCCCCCUAACUUGCUUUUGGGUUCAGAAUCAGAGAGACGCAGUGAGAGUCAGAUCCCUCUUUCAGCGCCCCGAGAAAAACCCAAAAAAAUUAAAAACAAAAAAAAAAUUGAGAAAAGGAAAACAAAAUUAAAAUACAAAUACAAAAUGGACGUAAUAAUGUUCGGCAUCAUAAUCGGCAUAAUCGUGCUUUUCUUCGGCAUCGUUUGCUUCAUCACCAUCGAAGGCACCUGCAAGCGCCGCAACUCCUAAUCCCCUCCGCCAAACACGCCCCUAAUUUCUCGGACCCUCACCAAAACCUCCGCAGUUCCUUUCGUUCCGUUCCGUUACAUUUGGAAGAUAUGGCGUUACGUAUCUCCUUGCUGAUUACGGCUUUGGUGGUUGGGCUGUGCUUGGAUCUGAGCUGGGGCCACUCCGGACUCGGUGUGUCGCAGGUCCACGAGUCCAGUGGUCACGACGACCACUGUAAUCACGGACACGACCAUGGUCAUCAUCAUCAUCAUGAUGAGGAGCGUUCGGUCUCGAAGCUUCCGGAGGAAUUGGCGGAGGAGGAGGAUAUGAAAUUGUACGGGUUCGGCUUCGAGCACGACCAUGAUCACAAGCAUUUUGGUGGUGCGUCGGAUCUCUCGGGUCUAGGUCUAUGGGUUAAUGCAUUGGGAUGCUCAUUUUUGGUGAGCAUGGCUUCUCUUAUAUGCCUGAUUAUCUUGCCGGUAAUAUUUGUACGAGGGAAACCAUCAAAAACUGUUGUUGAUUCAUUGGCUUUAUUUGGGGCAGGAGCUAUGCUAGGAGAUGCUUUUCUUCACCAAUUACCACAUGCUUUUGGUGGCCAACACUCCCAUUCGCAUGAUCAUGAUGCAAAUCAUGACGAUCAUGAUCAUUUGGGACACGAUCAUUCACAUUCACAUUCUUUGAAAGACCUCUCUGUAGGAAUGUCUAUCCUUGCUGGCAUUGUACUUUUUCUUCUUGUAGAGAAGGUGGUGAGGUAUGUUGAAGAUAAAUCCAGAGGAGCUCAUGCGUGGAGUCAUGGUCAUCACCACCAUCAUCAUAAGAGCACUAAGAUAUUGAAGGAUGAUGAUAAUUCUCAUGACAUUAUGCAGUCAUUAUCUUUAGAUGGAAAAGAAGGAAAGACAUUGGAGAUGUCAUCUGAAGGAAAAGUGUCAGGUGAAGUGUCAGAAGAAGCUUCGAAGGGAAAUGAUCUGACCCAUCAUGAACUUCGGAAGAGAAGCACUGGUGCUGGUGCUAGAGAAGAUAAGGCCGAUGUAGAUUUUGCAAAUAACUUCACCGAGGAUACUCAUUUGAAAGAAAAAGAACCAAGUCAAUCCUCAACAAAUCUUGUGUUUGGUUAUCUCAAUCUCUUUUCUGAUGGUGUUCACAAUUUUACUGAUGGAAUGGCUCUAGGAAGUGCUUUCCUUCUUUAUGGAUCUGUUGGCGGUUGGUCUAGAACUCUGUUUUUGCUUGCACAUGAGCUUCCUCAAGAGGUCUGCCGUGUUGGGCCUUGAGGUAGUGAUGAGGUUGCUUUGGAUCCAAGGCACAUCCUGUUUGCCAACCACUACGGAAAGAGCAAGAAGGCACAAGAGUAAGUACGGCAUCAGUUUGGCAUAUGGGGAAGACAACAGAGAAAAGGCUAGGAGAGGGAGACACAAGGCAUGAUAUAUGGGCUUAUGGAGCUCAUGUAGGGUGAGCCAAAUAGAAUAUAUGAUCCACUUAAGAGGAUGUUAGAGUAGCAUUUAGGAGAAGAUGAGAGGAAGCCUAUGGCUAGCGUAAGAAUUGUUCUGACCAUAAUGACUGCAGGAUAGAGAGGGAGAUGAUCCAUGGAACAUUUUGUAGUUCUUCUUAGCUGGUUGUGCUUGCAUUUCUCCCCAUGGUUAUGAUGUACACAUGAAGAUGGAGACGAGCGUGGGACCUGUGGCUUUGUGGGAAGAUCUAGCCAUGAGAAGUGAUUCUUGAGUGGUAGGACAUGAAAAAUAGAAAGAUAGAGAGGAUGGCGGCCUUUGCUUAAAAAUAUGAACGUGUUGUUUGUGUUAGCAACAUGCCUAUAAGAUGUCCAUGACUGGAAGGAUGAGGAAAUGGAGGAGGUUGGGAGUGGUGUCUUUUAUUGAGAUCAAGUUUGUAGAAGUAGCGUUUUGCUGGUGAUACCACCAGUUUGACAUCUAAGCGCUGCUAAAUGCGGAAAAGUAGGGAUUCUAAUCGCAGCAAUAAAGGCUUCCUCUAACCCAAUAUGUAAACUGGUUUUUAGCAUCGUGAGAGACCCAAAGAGUCUAUUAGGAAGCAUGAGAAAUCAUGAUGACCUUGCUAGAUGUUUAGACAAUAGGGGUAGUUUAGGAAGCACCUUGGUUGCAUGAUUUGCAUCAAAUGAAGGGGAAAAGUGCGUAGGAAUGGGUGGUAUAGUUGGCUUUAGUGAGCAAGGCUUAUUCUUAGCAUAAAUGCUUGCUUUGGGUUUGGGCUUUAUGUUGGGGAUUGUGAAAUUUGUGAAAUUUUGUAUGACAUAUUUGAAUCUGGCAGAGAGUGAGUUGAUCCCAGGCUUGCUUGACAGUGUGAGGUUUAUUUUUGGGGUGGUUAGAAAGCUAUACUUUUCCUUCAUGAGAGCUUUUUUUGCAGCUCAUCGAAGAGAGACAAUAUCUGAAGGUGCUCAAGCUAUAGAAGGCCAAGUCUGGCGGCAGAGGAGAUUAUGUACAUGGGGCCCAAUUUCUUUUAUUCCAGGCUUGCUUAUGGCUGACUACAUAAGGUUUAUUUUGAGUAGCAUUUAACUGGAUGUGCUUGUCACUCUAGAGUCUUUUUACAGCUCAUUUAAGAGUGUCGUGAUCUGAAGCUAUAGAAGCUCAAGUCUGGUGGCGGAGAAGAUGUACAUGGGCCAAAUUCUUUUUGAAUAGUUAAUGAUUAUGGCACUGUUUGCCUGGUCUAGUCACAGAGAUAGUCAUAGGCUUAGAUGUGCCUGUUGCAGCAUUAAUUUGGACUUGAUAUAAUUUUGUUCCCCGAUGUAUAAUAGAGCCUUUUAGGCAGGUUCCUAGCGGUAAUGAUUUAGUCUUUAUUAAAGGCAAUACUAAACUGGUUGCUGCUUGAUCAUGGGACUUGCUGCUUGGCCAAUUGAGGAAAGGAGAGAUUCUGAUGUUCUUCUGGCCAUCUAAGUCUGGUGGUGAAGGGAAGCAUAAAUAAGGCUCAACUUGCUUUGGGCAUGAGACAUUGAGGAAUUAUCGUACAUUUACUUGGGCUUGAGGAUAUUACUGGGCCUGGGGUUCUGGUUAAUGUAUUGUCCAUGUGGCUCCCACAUGAAUGCUUGUUUCCUUGUGGUCAUAUAUAGCUGGUUGCUAUGUCACAGAUAAAAGUGACCAUCAACCAUUAUCAUGCUGCAAAAGUUAUCUUUGCAACAUUUCUUUAUAUUUGUUUUAUGAUGCAUGGUAUAGAAUGCACCGCUUAGAUUUUGGGGGGAGUUCUGGGACUUGGUUUCUAUAAUCAUAAGUUCUAUCCUUUGCUUGGUCUUGACCUCUAUGAUGCAUGGUAGCAUGCACCCCUUAAGAUUAGGGGGGUAUGAGGGGGGGUGAUUUUCAUACUUUGUAUCUAUAACCAUAAAUUGUAUCCCUUAUGACAUAGUAUAGCAUUCCACCCCCCCACCCUUCAGAUUGGAAGAGAGGUUGCAAAAUGGAUGGGACUCAAACUUUUGAUGCUGAAAUGUAUAUUUUGAGCAUGUAGGUCUUCAUCCUUUUAUAUGCUCAACUGGUUCUGUAUGAGUGGCCGUUUGAUUGUUUCUAUUUGAGCUGGGCUUGAAAUUUUUUGUAAGUUUGCACAUUUCAUUUGAGGUGCAUUUGAUGGAAAUGUACUGAUUUCUUGAAAUCAAGACGUAAAAGCUUACCUCUUUGGUUUUGAUACUAUUUACUCAGACUUAUAUGAAGUAUACCAUGGUAAAGACAAGACCUUGAAUUUCCAACAUCUUGAUGAUUGUUAAAAGUUGGAGACUUUGUUUUGUACAGUCUAUUGGUUAUCUACAGUGUGAUUCUUGGAAAAUGCAUCUAUGGUCCUAUCAGUACUGCUUCUUCUCAAAUUUGGGAAAUGGUGGGGAGGCAAUAACAACUGUGGAAACUGAUCAGUUCAUCAAAUUAUUAGCUCCUUAGCCAAGUUGAGCUUGUAGUUCCUUAAAUUGCCACUUGUAAAAUAUACAAAGUGCUGUUGAACCCAAACUGGUAGGUGAAUCUUUCUGUCCUUUCUGAGAGGUAAAUACUCAUCUUUGGCUAUUUGCAUCUUAUCUCGGGUUGGCAGGUUUCAUAUUUCACUUGCGGUAGAGAUUGCCAAACAGAUCCAAGCUUUGUGGAUUCUUCUUCUCUCUCGUGAUUUAGGGUAUUGAAUGGUGGAAUUCAUAUUUCCUCAUUUCAUGUGAUAAAAUUUAGAAAUGGAGGCAUUCCUGUUUGUGAGGUUGGUGAUUUUGGUAUUCUUGUGAUGUCUGGUUUCAGCGUCCCCAAAGCUCUCUUCUUCAACUUCCUCUCGGCAGUGGUGGCACUAGCAGGAACCGCAAUGGCUUUGCUUUUGGGACAAGAUCCUGGGC